UACUGAUCAUAGACAACGGUCGAUGAUUCAGUAAUGCUUGGCUCACCAAAUUUUGUCGAGAGCUGAACAUUAUCCAUCAUCUCACCUCGAUAGGUCAUGCUCAAGCUAAUGAGGAGGUCGAGGUAACUAAUUGAACUUUUUUAUCAGAUCUGAAGGCAAGGUUGGAUUGGGCUAGAGGAUCUUAGGUAGACGAGCUUCAUCACAUGCUGUGG
rnacentral:lncRNA from 1 species